CGAUCCAGCAAUACCGCGUGUGUGAAGAAGGCCUCCGGGUUGUAAAGCACUUUCAAUUGGGAGGAAAACCUACCGGUCAAUACCCGGUAGCUUGACAUUGUCUUAGAAGAAGCACCGGCUAACUCCGUGCCAGCAGCCGCGGUAAUACGGAGGGUGCAAGCGUUAAUCGGAAUUACUGGGCGUAAAGCGUGCGUAGGCGGUUCGUUAAGUCAGAUGUGAAAGCCCCGGGCUCAACCUGGGAACUGCAUUUGAAACUGGCGGACUCGAGUUGAGUAGAGGGGAGUGGAAUUUCAGGUGUAGCGGUGAAAUGCGUAGAUAUCUGAAGGAACACCAGUGGCGAAGGCGACUCCCUGGACUCAAACUGACGCUGAGGUACGAAAGCGUGGGUAGCAAACAGGAUUAGAUACCCUGGUAGUCCACGCUGUAAACGAUGUCAACUAGCCGUUGGUCCUAUUUACAGGAUUAGUGGCGCAGCUAACGCAUUAAGUUGACCGCCUGGGGAGUACGGCCGCAAGGUUA
rnacentral:rRNA from 1 species